rnacentral:rRNA from 1 species
AAGGUGGAGUCGCUAGUAAUCGCGGAUCAGCAACGCCGCGGUGAAUGCGUUCCCGGGCCUUGUACACACCGCCCGUCAAGUCAUGAAAGUGGGCAGCACCCGAAGACGGUGGCCUAACCCUUGUGGGGGGAGCCGUCUAAGGUGAGGCUCGUGAUUGGGACUAAGUCGUAACAAGGUAUC